rnacentral:rRNA from 1 species
GAUGAACGCUGGCGGCGUGCCUAAUACCUGCAAGUCGAGCGAACAGAUGAGGAGCUUGCUCCUCUGACGUUAGCGGCGGACGGGUGAGUAACACGUGGAUAACCUACCUAUAAGACUGGGAUAACUUCGGGAAACCGGAGCUAAUACCGGAUAAUAUAUUGAACCGCAUGGUUCAAUAGUGAAAGACGGUUUUGCUGUCACUUAUAGAUGGAUCCGCGCCGCAUUAGCUAGUUGGUAAGGUAACGGCUUACCAAGGCGACGAUGCGUAGCCGACCUGAGAGGGUGAUCGGCCACACUGGAACUGAGACACGGUCCAGACUCCUACGGGAGGCAGCAGUAGGGAAUCUUCCGCAAUGGGCGAAAGCCUGACGGAGCAACGCCGCGUGAGUGAUGAAGGUCUUCGGAUCGUAAAACUCUGUUAUUAGGGAAGAACAAAUGUGUAAGUAACUAUGCACGUCUUGACGGUACCUAAUCAGAAAGCCACGGCUAACUACGUG